GUGGGGAAUCUUGCGCAAUGGGCGAAAGCCUGACGCAGCCAUGCCGCGUGAAUGAUGAAGGUCUUAGGAUUGUAAAAUUCUUUCACCGGGGACGAUAAUGACGGUACCCGGAGAAGAAGCCCCGGCUAACUUCGUGCCAGCAGCCGCGGUAAUACGAAGGGGGCUAGCGUUGCUCGGAAUUACUGGGCGUAAAGGGCGCGUAGGCGGAUCGUUAAGUCAGGGGUGAAAUCCCAGAGCUCAACUCUGGAACUGCCCUUGAUACUGGCGAUCUUGAGUGUGAGAGAGGUAGGUGGAACUCCGAGUGUAGAGGUGAAAUUCGUAGAUAUUCGGAAGAACACCAGUGGCGAAGGCGACAUACUGGCUCAUUACUGACGCUGAGGCGCGAAAGCGUGGGGAGCAAACAGGAUUAGAAACCCCGGUAGUCC
rnacentral:rRNA from 1 species